GAUGAACGCUGGCGGCGUGCUUAACACAUGCAAGUCGAGCGAAGCGAUUUAAGUGAAGUUUUCGGAUGGAUCUUAAAUUGACUGAGCGGCGGACGGGUGAGUAACGCGUGGAUAACCUGCCUCACACAGGGGGAUAACAGUUAGAAAUGACUGCUAAUACCGCAUAAGCCCACGGCUCGGCAUCGAGCAGAGGGAAAAGGAGCAAUCCGCUUUGAGAUGGCCUCGCGUCCGAUUAGCUAGUUGGUGAGGUAACGGCCCACCAAGGCGACGAUCGGUAGCCGGACUGAGAGGUUGAACGGCCACAUUGGGACUGAGACACGGCCCAGACUCCUACGGGAGGCAGCAGUGGGGAAUAUUGCACAAUGGGGGAAACCCUGAUGCAGCGACGCCGCGUGGAGGAAGAAGGUCUUCGGAUUGUAAACUCCUGUUGUUGAGGAAGAUAAUGACGGUACCCAACAAGGAAGUGACGGCUAACUACGUG
rnacentral:rRNA from 1 species